rnacentral:rRNA from 1 species
CGCGGCCUAUCAGCUUGUUGGUGGGGUGAUGGCCUACCAAGGCAGUGACGGGUAGCCGGCCUGAGAGGGCGACCGGCCACACUGGGACUGAGACACGGCCCAGACUCCUACGGGAGGCAGCAGUGGGGAAUAUUGCGCAAUGGGCGGAAGCCUGACGCAGCGACGCCGCGUGAGGGAUGACGGUCUUCGGAUUGUAAACCUCUUUCACCCACGACGAAGCGAAAGUGACGGUAGUGGGAGAAGAAGCACCGGCCAACUACGUGCCAGCAGCCGCGGUAAUACGUAGGGUGCAAGCGUUGUCCGGAAUUAUUGGGCGUAAAGAGCUCGUAGGCGGCUUGUCACGUCGACUGUGAAAACCCGGGGCUCAACUCCGGGCCUGCAGUCGAUACGGGCUGGCUUGAGUGCGGUAGGGGAGACUGGAAUUCCUGGUGUAGCGGUGAAAUGCGCAGAUACCAGGAGGAACACCGGUGGCGAAGGCGGGUCUCUGGGCCGUAACUGACGCUGAGGAGCGAAAGCGUGGGGAGCGAACAGGAUUAGAUACCCUGGUAGUCCACGCCGUAAACGUUGGGCGCUAGGUGUGGGGACCUAUCCACGGUCUCCGUGCCGCAGCUAACGCAUUAAGCGCCCCGCC